AUUGAACGCUGGCGGCAUGCUUUACACAUGCAAGUCGAACGGCAGCGCGGGCUUCGGCCUGGCGGCGAGUGGCGAACGGGUGAGUAAUACAUCGGAACGUGCCCAGUAGUGGGGGAUAGCUCGGCGAAAUCCGGAUUAAUACCGCAUACGACCUGAGGGUGAAAGCGGGGGAUCUUCGGACCUCGCGCUAUUGGAGCGGCCGAUGGCCGAUUAGCUAGUUGGUGGGGUAAAGGCCUACCAAGGCGACGAUCUGUAGCCGGUCUGAGAGGACGACCAGCCACACUGGGACUGAGACACGGCCCAGACUCCUAAGGGAGGCAGCAGUGGGGAAUUUUGGACAAUGGGCGAAAGCCUGAUCCAGCAAUGCCGCGUGUGUGAUGAAGGCCUUCGGGUUGUAAAGCACUUUUGGCGGGAACGAAAAGGACUGUGCCAAUACCACGGUUCGAUGACGGUACCCGCAGAAUAAGCACCGGCUAACUACGUG
rnacentral:rRNA from 1 species